rnacentral:rRNA from 1 species
UACGAAGGGAGCUAGCGUUGUUCGGAAUUACUGGGCGUAAAGGGCGCGUAGGCGGCUUAACAAGUCAGUGGUGAAAUCCCGGGGCUCAACCUCGGAAUUGCCUUUGAAACUGUUAAGCUAGAGUUUUGUAGGGGAUAGUGGAAUUUCUAGUGUAGGGGUGAAAUCCGUAGAUAUUAGAAGGAACACCAGUGGCGAAGGCGGCUAUCUGGACAAAUACUGACGCUGAGGCGCGAAAGUGUGGGGAGCAAACAGG